rnacentral:rRNA from 1 species
GACGAACGCUGGCGGCGUGGAUUAGGCAUGCAAGUCGAACGGUAUCAUCCUUUCGGGGGUGAGAGAGUGGCGAACUGGUGAGUAACACGUAGGUUAUCUACCCUCAAGACGGGGACAACCCAGGGAAACUUGGGCUAAUACCGGAUGUGAGCAACUUUUAGUUGUUUGAAAGGUGGCGUAAGCUGUCGCUUGGGGAUGAGCCUGCGUCCUAUUAGUUAGUUGGUGAGGUAACGGCUCACCUAGGCAAUGAUAGGUAGGCGGCCUUAACGGGGUGGUCGCCCACACUGGGAUUGAGAUACGGCCCAGACUCCUACGGGAGGCAGCAGUCGAGAAUAGUCUACAAUGGUCGGAAGACUGAUAGUGCGACGCCGCGUGAACGAUGAAUCCCUUCGGGGUGUAAAGUUCUUUUAUAUGUGAGCAGUGCUUCUUAUAUUAACAGUAUGGGGAGAGAGAUAUUAGCAUAUGAAUAAGCAACGGCUAACUCCGUAGCCAGCAGCCGCGGUAAACUCGU